rnacentral:rRNA from 1 species
CCUACGUGUGGCAGCAGUGAGGAAUAUUGGUCAAUGGCCGUAAGGCUGAACCAGCCAAGUAGCGUGAGGGAAGACUGCCCUAUGGGUUGUAAACCUCUUUUAUGCGGGGAUAACGGGGUCCACGUGUGGAUGUUUGCAGGUACCGCAUGAAUAAGGACCGGCUAAAUCCGUGCCAGCCGCCGCGGUAAUACGGAAGGUUCGGGCGUUAUCCGGAUUUAUUGGGGUUAAAGGGAGCGUAGGCCGGUCUUUAAGCGAGCCGGGAAAUUUUGUGGCUCAACCAUGGGAGUGCGGCGCGAACUGGGGACCUUGAGUGCGCGGAAGGCAGGCGGAAUGCGUGGUGUAGCGGUGAAAUGCUUAGAUAUCACGAAGAACCCCGAUUGCGAAGGCAGCCUGCCGCAGCGUUACUGACGCUGAAGCUCGAAAGCGCGGGUAUCGAACAGGAUUAGAUACCCUUGUAGUC